AGCGAACGCUGGCGGCAGGCUUAACACAUGCAAGUCGAGCGGGCCCUUCGGGGUCAGCGGCAGACGGGUGAGUAACGCGUGGGAACGUACCCUUUGGUUCGGAAUAACUCAGGGAAACUUGAGCUAAUACCGGAUACGCCCUUUUUGGGGAAAGGCUUGCUGCCGAAGGAUCGGCCCGCGUCUGAUUAGCUUGUUGGUGAGGUUAUGGCCCACCAAGGCGACGAUCAGUAGCUGGUCUGAGAGGAUGAUCAGCCACACUGGGACUGAGACACGGCCCAGCCUCCUACGGGAGGCAGCAGUGGGGAAUCUUGGACAAUGGGGGCAACCCUGAUCCAGCCAUGCCGCGUAAGUGAUGACGGCCUUAGGGUUGUAAAGCUCUUUUCUCCGGGACGAUAAUGACGGUACCGGAGGAAUAAGCCCCGGCUAACUUCGUGCCAGCAGCCGCCGUAA
rnacentral:rRNA from 1 species